rnacentral:rRNA from 1 species
UUCAGGGGAGCCGCACUUGAAAUACCACCCUUGAAAAUUCGGUAUUCUAACCUAGUGCCGUAAUCCGGUACAGAGACAGUGUCUGGUGGGUAGUUUGACUGGGGCGGUCUCCUCCCAAAGAGUAACGGAGGAGUACGAAGAUUGGCUAAUUACGGUCGGACAUCGUAAGGUUAGUGCAAAGGCAUAAGCCAGUUUAACUGUGAGCGUGAUAACGCAAGCAGAUGCGAAAGCAGGUCUUAGUGAUCCGGUGGUUCUGUGUGGAAAGGCCAUCGCUCAACGGAUAAAAGGUACUCCGGGGAUAACAGGCUGAUACCGCCCAAGAGUUCAUAUCGACGGCGGUGUUUGGCACCUCGAUGUCGGCUCAUCACAUCCUGGGGCUGAAGUAGGUCCCAAGGGUAUGGCUGUUCGCCAUUUAAAGUGGUACGCGAGCUGGGUUUAGAACGUCGUGAGACAGUUCGGUCCCUAUCUGCCGUGGGCGUAGGAAGAUUGAGAGGGAUUGCUCCUAGUACGAGAGGACCGGAGUGAACGCACCGCUGGUGUUCGGGUUGUCAUGCC